rnacentral:tRNA from 1 species
GAGCGCGUAGCUCAGUUGGCAGAGCAUUGGGCUAGUAUUCCAAAGGUCGUAGGUUCGAUUCCCACCGUGGCCA